UAUAUGGCUGUGUGCAUCUCUGUGGACCU
rnacentral:piRNA from 1 species